UUUUUUUAUUAUCAAAAAAGCAAAGUCAUGUAUUGAAUCUCAUGAGGAGGAAUCUUAAAACUUCUGUUGGUUUGGGGACAUCGAUACUUUGCAACAGUUGGUUUGGGUUUUUUAAAUCAUCUUAGUUAUUUUCAUAAUGACAUUUUCUAAAUUCAACUCUCUAUUUGAUACCAAUUUCAUUAAAUGUGCACCAUCUUUAAUAGAUAUGAAUUCUGAAUGUUAAAAACACCUGAAUUUGUUUAAAUCCACUCUGCUUCUUAUGUAUGAAGACAUAUCCACUAAUCAUUGAAAGAAAUCCUGAUUUUCAUGUUGAAAUAAUGAGAGAGAGAGAGGGGGAAUUGUUUAUAAGGAGAUAGAAGAGGGUGUUAUGUAGUUGUUUGUGGACUGAAUGUUGACUGACUUUUUUCCCGCAUUUUAUCAAUACAACUUGCAGACCUCUUUGUAGUUCACUGGGUAAUGAAUGUGUCUACACUCAUUGUUCUAAAUGUUUUGUGUGCCAAACGCUGGGAUAUAUAUAUAUCCAACUGACCCAGUCUUCUGGACUUGAAUCAUCUUUGUGUGCUGGUCUUGUAUCAUGAAUAAAAUUUGGGCUUAUUUUG
rnacentral:sRNA from 1 species